GAUGAACGCUAGCUACAGGCUUAACACAUGCAAGUCGAGGGGAAACGGCAUCGAAAGCUUGCUUUUGAUGGGCGUCGACCGGCGCACGGGUGAGUAACGCGUAUCCAACCUGCCCAUCACUUGGGAAUAACCUUGCGAAAGUAAGACUAAUGCCCAAUGACAUCCCACGAAGGCAUCCGAAUGGGAUUAAAGAUUUAUCGGUGAUGGAUGGGGAUGCGUCUGAUUAGCUUGUUGGCGGGGUGACGGCCCACCAAGGCAACGAUCAGUAGGGGUUCUGAGAGGAAGGUCCCCCACAUUGGAACUGAGACACGGUCCAAACUCCUACGGGAGGCAGCAGUGAGGAAUAUUGGUCAAUGGGCGAGAGCCUGAACCAGCCAAGUAGCGUGCAGGAUGACGGCCCUAUGGGUUGUAAACUGCUUUUAUAAGGGGAUAAAGUGGGUCACGUGUGACUUUUUGCAUGUACCUUAUGAAUAAGGACCGGCUAAUUCCGUG
rnacentral:rRNA from 1 species